GGAGAGGUGGGUGAGUGGCUGAAACCACCGGUUUGCUAAACCGGCGUGCCGUCGAUACGGUACCGGGGGUUCGAAUCCCCCUCUCUCCG
rnacentral:tRNA from 1 species